AUGAAGAAUUUUUCAAAAAGGUUCUAUGGCUUUGGAAGGAUGUAUCCUGCAGCAAGGGCUUAUAGGGAAGAUGUGUUCACUGAACAUAUGACGUCAAUCAUUAAACAAUCAGAUGAGGUAUGGAAAUGGUUGUGUCAGUACCACACUCUGAAGUGGAUGAGGUGUGUCGUCAAUCCAGAUAUCAAGUGUGACUAUAUCACUAAUAAUGUAGUAGAGGUUUUUAACAACUGGAUCCGAGAGAUUAAAGAUUUACCUGUUGCUGAACUAGCUGAUAAGAUUAGAGAGAUGAUCAUGCUUUUAUAG
rnacentral:rRNA from 1 species